UCUCCCGGUCACGGCGAAGAGCACCGAUGACCGGAGAAACAAAGGCGGCGUAGAUCUAGGUUUUGCGAAAGGUAAAGGGUUGAAGGAAAAGUCGUCCGCGAGUGGAUGCCACGCACGUCGACUUCUUCUUUUGAUGAUAUUAGCUAACU
rnacentral:sRNA from 1 species